AAAAGUAGCCCUGCAGCUCCAGGUUUUACUGAGUCUGUUACUAUGACUAUGCUUCACUUUUGGGGGGUUGUUUCUGCUCUGAAUUUAAAUGAAAUAGCUAUGUGGAAGAAAAACUGCAAACUUCUAGAAAAUAAAAAAACCUACCUACUUUCAGCUGCCACUGUGUCCACAUCCAUAAAAAUCCCCUCCACUCCCCAUGGAUUUCAACAUGCAGUUUAUCUCAUUAGUUCCAUAAAACAUCAGAUGCAACGUUAAUGGCCUCACCCCAAAAAGAUAACUGGACAGCCCUCAAACAUUCAGCAGCAUUCCAAAUAACCUUUUGCUGGAGCCGGCCUUCUACGGGGCCGUGUGGAUGUCAGACACACACAACGUGAGUCACGCUGACAUAGCUGAGAUGCCUGGGUUGCGAUGGCAUCUCAGGGGUACCAAUCACAGGCCAGAGAGAAGCCAUUGGCUGGAA
rnacentral:lncRNA from 1 species